GAGGAUAUUUAGAAUCAGUAUCUAAAGAGAGGAUGACCUUUUCAGUGGUAUAGGAGAAGUGCCAAAACAAGGAAGAUGCCUUAUCAUCUGCCUGCUUUCCUGCUCCAUGGCUGGACUUGGCCUCCUGCCACUGUCCCUUCCCUGCCACAGAAGCCAGGUCCCUCCACAAGAGGCUCCAGCACAUCUGUGAAGAAGUGGUUACUGAAGUAUUUGCAUCUGCUUCAUUUAAGGAUGUCUCCGCGGACAGUAUCAUCAAAUACAACAAAUGAAAAAUUAGGCAGUGCAAAAACUGAAAACAAUGCAAUAUUUAAACAGUGCCUUGUCUGGCAUCUU